UAACGCGAAGAACCUUACCAACUCUUGACAUCCCCCUGACCGGUACAGAGAUGUACCUUCCCCUUCGGGGGCAGGGGUGACAGGUGGUGCAUGGUUGUCGUCAGCUCGUGUCGUGAGAUGUUGGGUUAAGUCCCGCAACGAGCGCAACCCUUGUCCUUAGUUGCCAGCAUUUAGUUGGGCACUCUAGGGAGACUGCCGGUGACAAACCGGAGGAAGGUGGGGAUGACGUCAAAUCAUCAUGCCCCUUAUGAGUUGGGCUACACACGUGCCACAAUGGACGGUACAAAGGGCAGCAAAGCCGCGAGGUGGAGCCAAUCCCAGAAAGCCGUUCUCAGUUCGGAUUGCAGGCUGCAACUCGCCUGC
rnacentral:rRNA from 1 species